rnacentral:rRNA from 1 species
GGAUACGUCUAAACGGCCGCAGAAUUUUAACUGUGCUAAGGUAGCAUAAUCAUUUGUCUUUUAAUUGAAGACUGGUAUGAAUGGUUUAACGAAAUUAAGCUGUCUCUUUUAUACUAAAUAUAAUUUAAUCUUAAAGUUAAAAAGCUUUAAUAGAAUAAAAAGACAAAAAGACCCUAUAGAGUUUUAUUUACAAUAUUUUAAUAAAAAUAAAUGUAAAUUUUGUUGGGGCAACUAAGAAAAACUAAAUUUUUCUUUAAUUAAAUAAUUAUAAUAUAUCAUUUAUUAAAUAAAUCAAAAUAAAUUACCUUAGGGAUAACAGCGUAAUUUUCUUUGAGAGUCCAAAUCGAAAAGAAAAAUUAC